rnacentral:rRNA from 1 species
GCCUUCAUGAAGCCGGAAUUGCUAGUAAUGGCAGGUCAGCAUACUGCCGUGAAUACGUUCCCGGGCCUUGUACACACCGCCCGUCACACCAUGAGAGUUGGGAAUACCCGAAGCCUGUGAGCUAACUUAUAGAGGCAGCAGUCGAAGGUAGAAUCAAUGAUUGGGGUGAAGUCGUAACAAGGUACC